UAACUAGAGGAUGCUUUUGUAAAAAAGCGCAUGUCUCCCCCACUGCUGAGAAUAACUGUGAAUGGAAACAGGAAUGGAAAUGGAGAUAAGAUAAUGUAAAUACCCGGUAGUCACUUCAAUGAAGGCUGUCUAUGGAUGGUUUCUAUUGUUAAGUCACUGUGACCUUGACCUUUGAACUACUGACCCCAAAAACAAUAGGGAUCA